rnacentral:lncRNA from 1 species
UGGACAGAUCACCUAGACAGAAAAUCAGUAAAGAAACACCAGAUUCAAACCACAGGCCAAACUGACCUAACAGACACUGACAAAAUAUUUCAUACUACACCUGCAGAAUACACGAUCUUCUCAUCCAUACAUAAAAUAUUCUCCAGGGCAGACCAUAUUUUAGUCUCAAAAAAUGUUAAAAAAUCAAAAUCCUAUCAAGUAUGUUUUUGGACAAUGGAAUACAACAAGAAAUCAGUCAUAAAAGGAACUUUGGAACCUAUAUAAAGUAAUGGAAACCAAAUAGCACACUCUUGAACAGCCAAUGAGUCAAUGAAGAAAGCAAGAAAAAAAUUUAAAUAUGUACUGAAACAAAUGAAAAUAGAAGCAAAUGUCAAAACUUAAGGGACAGAGCAAAAGCAGUACUAAGAGGGAAGUUUAUAAUAAUAAACAACUAUAUCAAAAAUGUAGAAUGAUUUCAAAUAUCAAUCUAACAAUGCACUUCAGGGAACUAGAAAAGCAAACACACACCAAACCCAAAAUUACUAGAAUAGAAAAAAAUAAUAAUCAGAGCAAAAAUAAAUGAAGUUGAGACUAAAAGAACACAAAAAUCAACAAAACAGAAAGUUCAUUUGUUAAAAAGAUAAACAUCAACAAACCAUUAGACUAACCAAGAAAAAAAAAGAUCCAAAUAAAUAUAAUCAGAAACAAAAAAAAAGACAUUACUACUGAUACCAUAGAAAUACAAAGAAUCAUUAAAGACUAUAAGUAUGCCAGGGCAAAUAUUUAGGCUAAAUUGUGGGAGCUAAGAACACAAAGUACAUUGAUUUCUUUAUUACAGCUAACAGAUAUCUAAGAAUGUUAGCACAGGUCUUUGAAUAAAUUUUGCUUCUAAGAGAAGUUACUAUUUAUUCUUAAUUAGAUGGGGAGGAAAGUCUCUUUGAAGAGGAGCCUCUACUUCACUUUUUACAUGCAUCCAUGACCAAAAUCCAUUUUAAAUGUUUUGUCAUUCCCAAAAAGAAACCCUAUCCCCUUGGGUAUUGCUCCUCAACCCCCAUAUUCCCUCCGGCCCUAGGCAACCACUAAUCUACUUUCUGUCUCUACAGAUUUGUCUAUUCUAGGCAAUGCACAGAAAUGCAAUCUUACUAUAGAUGCAGCCUGUUGUGAUCGGCUUCUUUCACUUAGUAUAAUAUU